rnacentral:lncRNA from 1 species
UGUGCAUGCACAAAAUCAUACAUAAACCCCACACUGGAGUCCUCAUCAAAUACUCCAAUGGGGUAUCAUCAUCAUACAUAUCAGCUUGGAUAAUCAUGGUCAUUAACAUCAUUACUCAUUAAACACUCUGUACAUAAUGGGAAUUCACACACCUCUAGGUCAAGCACUACUAUAAUCCUCAAUACAUCAUCAUAUCAUUCAUUACAUUACAUGGUCAUAAAUACUCAUUACAUCAUGUUCAUGUCCACUACUAUCUAUUACAACAUACAUGACUUAACUUCACUCUAGCCGACUUCCCGAUCUAUCCUGUACCUGCAACUCUGGGGAUAAAGGGAGUGGGGUGAGCUACUAGAGCCCAGUGAGCAGAAUAAUAAAACAUCAAUUUAAAUCAUGCUUUCAUGUAUGCGCCAUAACACAAACAUUUCACAACAAGGAUGAACUUGUCACCAUUUAGCCCCUAUCUUUCUUACUUAUACAUGCCGGGGGCGUAGAGCCGUAGCAGGCACACCCGGACUUCCAUAAUCAGUCAUGGUGCCAGGGGCGUAGAGCCGUAGCAGGCACACCUGGACUCACAUAGGCUAUCAUGACAUACAAGGGCUAAUGGAUCAUUCAACAUUCAUCCACAUCAACAACAAAGUAUGCAAUGCAACAUAUUCGUGAAUUCUAAUGCAAACAACCUGGUAUAUCUCAUGGCAUUCAUGAUGCGUGAAUCAUGCUAAAACAUUUCAUUAAUUUGCUUUAAAACUUAAAGUUUAUUCCACUCACCUCUGGCUAGCUCUGAAGAGACUCUGAAGCAGCUGGCUCACUGCUGGGGGUCUCGGUUCCUCGGGUCCGAACCUACACAGGUGGACUCAAAUGAGGGACCAAACAUACCUGAAUAUGACUCUAAAAUACUCCCCAAAAACCCCCUAAAACAUCUUGAAAACAUCUCAUGAAAACAUGCAAGAAAUGGCUGAA